AGUGAACGCUGGCGGUAGGCCUAACACAUGCAAGUCGAACGGCAGCACAGUAAGAGCUUGCUCUUACGGGUGGCGAGUGGCGGACGGGUGAGGAAUACAUCGGAAUCUACUUUUUCGUGGGGGAUAACGUAGGGAAACUUACGCUAAUACCGCAUACGACCUACGGGUGAAAGCAGGGGAUCUUCGGACCUUGCGCGAUUGAAUGAGCCGAUGUCGGAUUAGCUAGUUGGCGGGGUAAAGGCCCACCAAGGCGACGAUCCGUAGCUGGUCUGAGAGGAUGAUCAGCCACACUGGAACUGAGACACGGUCCAGACUCCUACGAGAGGCAGCAGUGGGGAAUAUUGGACAAUGGGCGCAAGCCUGAUCCAGCCAUACCGCGUGGGUGAAGAAGGCCUUCGGGUUGUAAAGCCCUUUUGUUGGGAAAGAAAAGCAGCAGGUUAAUACCCCGCUGUUCUGUCGGUACCCAAAGAAUAAGCACCGGCUAACUUCGUG
rnacentral:rRNA from 1 species